UUGACUCUCAGAUAGCUGAUAAAUCCAAAGUAUGAUGUACAGACACAGCCAUGUCCAGGUCAGGUGGUGUUUGAAGGGUUGGCAAGCAGUGGACGAGGAUCUCACCCUGAAGUGGAUGACUGAAAAUGCACCUUCCAUCAAGUUAGUGUUGCUGCCACUAACCAAGGACACAUGCGAAGAGCAGUUGUCAGUGAGAGUUGGGACAUCUGGGAGAGAGGCCACAAACCAGAGCUACCUUGGAAUCUGAGAUGGACACUGCAGUUAUCACCACCUCAACAUCUUUGCUACCUGAAUAAGAGAAUGAAGUUUUUCCAAGAUGAUCCAAGCACAAGAGGUCAACUAUUUGCAUGAUACGCCUCCCAUAUCUGAGACAGAGUUGGAGCAACCUGACCUGAUGCUAAAACUCCCCCAGCAGGAGCUACAAAAAAAGAAGCAGCCUGUGCCCUCGGACUUAGAGGUGAAGGGAUGUGGUGAUUAUAACGAGGUCAGCCAUGUGGAUCUCAUAAAAUAUGAGUGCCCAGAUUUGAUCUGUUAAUUUGAUCCAAGCAGGGAUCCCUGGCUGACAGAUAUAAACAAGAGUGUUAGAGGUUCUGUUCAUUCUGAGAGCUGGCUCUGAGGGAGCUAGAUCAGUGUCAAAGAUUCUCCACAUAUAAAUAAAGGAUGACCACCAGCCUCUGUGGCAUUAUUUCAUCCCUAUCUCAAGGUAGCAAUUCUAGAACCCUUCCUGAUGUUUUGUGCCAGCUCUCCAAAUAUACACCAGUUUUUCUCAAACCCAGUGAGUCAGAAGCAUUUACAGUAAGCCCUGUAAAGACAUGUGCUCAGCAGGAUGGAUCCUUGUGGUAGUGCUACUGAAUUCUGUACCUGAGUACCUGGAAGUUAUCAGCACAGGCCUUAUUUAAACAUGCAUUGAUGAAUGUCUUGACUGCUUCCAGUACACACAGAGCAUGUCUGUGCUCAUCCCCAAAGAGAAGGUGGUGACUUAGUGGUAUUAUUGCUCAACUAUUAGUCCAGAAACUGUAGUCAUGUUCUGGGUACCCAGGUUCGAAUCUUGCCAUGGGAGAUGGUGAAAUUUGAAUUAAAUAAAUAUCUGGAAUUAGAAGUCUACUAAUGACUAUGAAGCCGUUGUUGAUUGUUAGAAAAAACGUCUUGUUCACUAAUGCCCUUGAGGGAAGGAAACUGUCAUCCUUACCUGGUAUGGACUACAUGUGACUCCUGAACUACAGCAAUAUGGUUAACACUUAACACCUCUCUGGGCAAUUAGGAAUGGGUUAUAAGUGUUGGCCUGGCCGAUGAUGCCCAUAUCCUGUGAAAGAUUUUUUAAAAUCCUUGUCCCAGCUAGGGGCAGUGCUGAAGA